GAUGAACGCUGGCGGCGUGCCUAAUACAUGCAAGUCGAGCGAAUGGAUUAAGAGCUUGCUCUUAUGAAGUUAGCGGCGGACGGGUGAGUAACACGUGGGUAACCUGCCCAUAAGACUGGGAUAACUCCGGGAAACCGGGGCUAAUACCGGAUAACAUUUUGAACCGCAUGGCUCGAAGUUGAAAGGCUGCUUCGGCUGCCACUUAUGGAUGGACCCGCGUCGCAUUAGCUAGUUGGUGAGGUAACGGCUCACCAAGGCAACGAUGCGUAGCCGACCUGAGAGGGUGAUCGGCCACACUGGGACUGAGACACGGCCCAGACUCCUACGGGAGGCAGCAGUAGGGAAUCUUCCGCAAUGGACGAAAGUCUGACGGAGCAACGCCGCGUGAGUGAUGAAGGCUUUCGGGUCGUAAAACUCUGUUGUUAGGGAAGAACAAGUGCUAGUCGAAUAAGCUGGCACCUUGACGGUACCUAACCAGAAAGCCACGGCUAACUACGUGCCAGCCGCCGCGGUAA
rnacentral:rRNA from 1 species